rnacentral:rRNA from 1 species
UACGGAGGGUGCAAGCGUUAUCCGGAUUCACUGGGUUUAAAGGGUGCGUAGGUGGGCAGGUAAGUCAGUGGUGAAAUCUCCGGGCUUAACUCGGAAACUGCCAUUGAUACUAUCUUUCUUGAAUACCGUGGAGGUCAGCGGAAUAUGUCAUGUAGCGGUGAAAUGCUUAGAUAUGACAUAGAACACCGAUAGCGAAGGCAGCUUGCUACACAAUCAUUGACACUGAGGCACGAAAGCGUGGGGAUCAAACAGG